rnacentral:rRNA from 1 species
AGUGAACGCUGGCGGCAGGCCUAACACAUGCAAGUCGAACGGCAGCACAGUAAGAGCUUGCUCUUACGGGUGGCGAGUGGCGGACGGGUGAGGAAUACAUCGGAAUCUACUUUUUCGUGGGGGAUAACGUAGGGAAACUUACGCUAAUACCGCAUAUGAUCUACGGGUGAAAGCAGUGGAUCUUCGGACCUUGCGCGACUGAAUGAGCUGAUGCCGGAUUAGCUAGUUGGCGGGGUAAAGGCCCACCAAGGCGACGAUCCGUAGCUGGUCUGAGAGGAUGAUCGGCCACACUGGAACUGAGACACGGUCCAGACUCCUACGGGAGGCAGCAGUGGGGAAUAUUGGACAAUGGGCGAAAGCCUGAUCCAGCCAUACCGCGUGAGUGAAGAAGGCCUUCGGGUUGUAAAGCCCUUUUGUUGGGAAAGAAAAGCAGCGGAUUAAUCCCCCGCUGUUCUGACGGUACCCAAAGAAUAAGCACCGGCUAACUUCGUG